ACGGAGGGGACUAGCGUUGUUCGGAAUUACUGGGCGUAAAGCGCACGUAGGCGGACCAGCAAGUUAGGGGUGAAAUCCCGGGGCUCAACCCCGGAACUGCCUUUAAAACUGUUGGUCUGGAGUUCGAGAGAGGUGAGUGGAAUUCCGAGUGUAGAGGUGAAAUUCGUAGAUAUUCGGAGGAACACCAGUGGCGAAGGCGGCUCACUGGCUCAUUACUGACGCUGAGGUGCGAAAGCGUGGGGAGCAAACAG
rnacentral:rRNA from 1 species